CCUAAUCUGAGGCACAACGGGUAUGAGAUGAUCAUCUGAUUCAAACACUGUCAGAUUUGUAAGCAAGCUUCUGGUAUCCCGGAGGACUGACUGCCCAGUAAGGUGGUGGAGCAGCUAUACAAGGGAUUUUCAUUCAGAAGACCUACAGGACCUGCAUGGGAAUCCCCUGACUCACACACAUAACACAGCCUUGCAGACAGGGUUUACUGGAGUCUUAACCCAAAGACACCCUCAGCCACACAGUCUCCAUGCCACCACCCCAGUUUGUAGAUAAUCAAGGCCUAUCGCUGCCAACUGAGUGUAUGGUUAACUGAAUGCUUUGAUGUUCAAGCUUGACCUCAUCAGGAAACAUGUGCAGAGACUUGAUAGCCCAUUGGAGGAUCAGUCUGAUCCCUGCAUGACCCCCGACCCCCUGUGCAGAGAAAGGG